UCGCGGCGGUGCGCGCAGAAGGGUCUGGGCUCGAGCCUGCCUGGAGCCGCCGCCGGUGCAGAUCUUGGUGGUAGUAGCAAAUACUCCAGCGAGGCCCUGGAGGACUGAUGUGGAGAAGGGUUUCGUGUGAACAGCCGUUGCACACGAGUCAGUCGACCCUAAGCCCUAGGAGAGAUCCGAUGCAAACGGCGAUGGGAAAAACUGUACUCUUUGUUUCUUUUGACGAGAGCCCAUUGAUCGGGCGAAAGGGAAUCCGGUUCCUAUUCCGGAACCCGGCAGCGGAACCGUUGUUUGUCGGGCCCUCGCAAGGGGUUCGUCAGGGCAACCUAAAAGGGCCCGGAGACGCCGUCGGGAGCCCCGGAAAGAGUUUUCUUUUCUGCAUGAGCGUUCGAGUUCCCCUGGAAUCCUCUCGCAGGGAGAUAGGGUUUGGAACGCGAAGAGCACCGCAGUUGCGGCGGUGCCCGGGAAUUCCCGACGGACCUUGAAAAUCCGGGAGAGGGCCACGUGGAGGUGUCGCGCCGGCUCGUACCCAUAUCCGCAGCAGGUCUCCAAGGUGAAGAGCCUCUAGUC
rnacentral:rRNA from 1 species